rnacentral:lncRNA from 1 species
AUGUAACUUUGGUUCUCUCACUAUUUUUUGUCCAAUAAAUAACAAACUCUUCUUUCAAUAUAAGGGCAAUAUAGACAAUUGAUAUUAUAGUUAAUGGUAUACAAUCAUUACCUUAAUACUUGUGCACAACCCUAAAACGACUUAUAUUAAGGAACGGAGGGAGUACAUAAAUUGUACUAAAAUAUCUUAAGGGAAACAGGACGUCUUAUUUCACAUAGAAUUACAAUCAAAUGUGGAUUAAUUAACCCGAGCAUCAAGUGAAGUUCAUAUAAAUAAUCAAAGAGAAGAAAUCAAAAUAUGGCAUUUGCACACCUAUAAGAUUAUGGGAAAGCAUUUUGCAAUUCUUUGUCUGGAAUUGAACAUCAACCUCGUUGUG